rnacentral:lncRNA from 1 species
GAUGAGGCUACCAGGAGAGAACAGAGAAGAAAAGACACUCUGAAAAAGGAAAAGAUGAGAGUUCUUAUGGAAAAAUGUGCCUUGGGAAAAAUUACAAUACUACAGCAAGGAGCACACAGGCCGCAUCUGUCCUGGGGCUCAUUUGUCCUUCUUCAACCUCCUCCACAGUUAGAGGCUCCUGAACUACAAUGGCAACGAUUGAAGAAACUGUUGUUGAAAAGUCCACGCCAAAUUCUCGGUAUGUCACUGAAGACAAGGACAUUUUGGGUAGAACCAGGCUGCUAAUCCACUCUUGCCAGGAGGGAAGAUUUUUUCUCUUUCUGUAGUGAGCAACAACGCCACUCGAUGAAGAAACUGAGGUUCAUGGAAGUUAAAUAACUUGCCCACAGGGCACAACUAGUAGGCAGCUAAGCUAGGACUUCAACUGAGGUCUGUAAGACUUAAAGCACAUGCUAUUCCUGCUCCUCAAUAGCUUUCCUGCUAAGCACCAAGAGACGCUAGGCUGCCAGGAACAUCACAGCAGAGACCACCGUCAAUCAAUGCAUCUCCACCGUCUUUUAGACAUUCUUUUGAAGAAAGAUUUAGCUGCUAAAAGAAAAGAUGAAUAUACAAAAAGGAUAAUACUACCAUAUUUCAUCAUAUUGUCUCGUUUUAAUACAAGAAGACUCAUCCAGCUUAAACAUUUGAUGUUUAAGAAGCUAACCAGCAAGCUGCCCUCUGGGAAUGCAUACCAUCAGGUAUGGAUCAGUGGCCCUGAGAUCAUGUUCAUAACUCAGCAGCUUUGUACAAGCUGUCAAGACUCAGAACAUGGUACCCCAAAGUAUGGCACCUUGGUGUGCUGAGUACUGUGGACUGAAGGACAUCGGAAAUGUCUCAGAAGCUAUGUCUCUUUGACCUUCUCCCAGCCUCCUGUCUCCUACCUGUCUUUCUCCCUUGAAGUGAGUCAUGGCAACCAUAAUUCCUCUUUCCCAAGGUGUGUCACAGAAACUAGAACCCCUCUCCUCCAAGGGAAGCCGUGAAACCUAGAAAGGUCACUCUCUGCCUUCCCCCUUCUCCCUUGAAGACCCUCAUUCCAGAGGGGCCCUGCCCCAUAUUCAGGAGGGUUACACAAAGAGGUUAAGAAGAAUUUGAACAUUCAGGCCUUGCUGGGUUCCCUGCUCAGUCUAUCAGCAUUAGAUCACACCCUUUAGUCCAUCACAUUUCUACACCGCUGUCCAUUCUUCAUCAAACCGAAGAAUAAAAAAAGUUUUCCCUGGGU